GUCGAGGAUCAUUCGCAAUGGGCGAAAGCCUGACGAUGCGACGCCGCGUGAACGAAGAAGGCCUUCGGGUUGUAAAGUUCUUUGAGCAGGGGCGAACGCUUUCCCGUUAAUAGCGGGUAGAGCUUGACGGUACCUGCAGAACAAGCCACGGCUAACCUCGUGCCAGCAGCCGCGGUAAUACGAGGGUGGCAAGCGUUGUUCGGAUUUACUGGGCGUAAAGGGGGUCUAGGUGGUAUGCUAAGUCUCCUGUGAAACUCCGGAGCUCAACUCCGGGACUGCAGGGGAAACUGGCGUGCUAGAGUGCGUAAGACGCAUGCGGAAUACUGGGUGUAGCGGUGAAAUGCGUAGAUAUCCAGUAGAACACCUGCGGCGAAAGCGGCCUGCGUGUACGUUACUGACACUGACGCCCGAAAGCGUGGGGAGCAAACAGGAUUAGAUACCCUGGUAGUCC
rnacentral:rRNA from 1 species